rnacentral:rRNA from 1 species
UACGAAGGGGGCUAGCGUUGUUCGGAUUUACUGGGCGUAAAGCGCACGUAGGCGGAUCGAUCAGUCAGGGGUGAAAUCCUGGAGCUCAACUCCAGAACUGCCUUUGAUACUGUCGAUCUCGAGUCCGGAAGAGGUGAGUGGAACUCCUAGUGUAGAGGUGGAAUUCGUAGAUAUUAGGAAGAACACCAGUGGCGAAGGCGGCUC